GUUUGAUCAUGGCUCAGUGAAGUCCUAACAGGGUAACCGACUAGAGUUUGAUCAUGGCUCAUUGAAGUCCUAACAAGGUAACCGACUGGGGUUUGAUCUGGGGAAACUCAAGCUAAUACCGGGUACCCCCCACGGGGGAAAGCAGGGGAUCUUCGGACCUUGCGCUAUCGGAUGAGCCUAUGUCGGAUUAGCUUGUUGGUGAGGUAAUGGCUCACCAAGGCGACGAUCCGUAGCUGGUCUGAGAGGAUGAUCAGCCACAUCGGGACUGAGACACGGCCCGAACUCCUACGGGAGGCAGCAGUGGGGAAUAUUGGACAAUGGGCGAAAGCCUGAUCCAGCCAUGCCGCGUGUGUGAAGAAGGCUUUCGGGUUGUAAAGCACUUUCAGUGAGGAAGAAGGCCUUGGGGCUAAUACCCCCGAGGAAGGACAUCACUCACAGAAGAAGCACCGGCUAACUCCGUGCCAGCAGCCGCGGUAAUACGGAGGGUGCAAGCGUUAAUCGGAAUUACUGGGCGUAAAGCGCGCGUAGGCGGCUUGAUAAGCCGGUUGUGAAAGCCCCGGGCUCAACCUGGGAACGGCAUCCGGAACUGUCAGGCUAGAGUGCAGGAGAGGAAGGUAGAAUUCCCGGUGUAGCGGUGAAAUGCGUAGAGAUCGGGAGGAAUACCAGUGGCGAAGGCGGCCUUCUGGACUGACACUGACGCUGAGGUGCGAAAGCGUGGGUAGCAAACAGGAUUAGAUACCCUGGUAGUCCACGCCGUAAACGAUGUCGACUAGCCGUUGGGGUCCUAGAGACCUUUGUGGCGCAGUUAACGCGAUAAGUCGACCGCCUGGGGAGUACGGCCGCAAGGUUAAAACUCAAAUGAAUUGACGGGGGCCCGCACAAGCGGUGGAGCAUGUGGUUUAAUUCGAUGCAACGCGAAGAACCUUACCUACCCUUGACAUCGUGCGAACUUGGUAGAGAUACCUUGGUGCCUUCGGGAGCGCACAGACAGGUGCUGCAUGGCUGU
rnacentral:rRNA from 1 species